rnacentral:rRNA from 1 species
UACGUAGGGCGCAAGCGUUAUCCGGAAUUAUUGGGCGUAAAGAGCUCGUAGGCGGUUUGUCGCGUCUGCCGUGAAAGUCCGGGGCUCAACUCCGGAUCUGCGGUGGGUACGGGCAGACUAGAGUGAUGUAGGGGAGACUGGAAUUCCUGGUGUAGCGGUGAAAUGCGCAGAUAUCAGGAGGAACACCGAUGGCGAAGGCAGGUCUC